UCCCAAAACCCGGGCGCGAACACAAACACCAGGUGUGCUGGGACCAAGUCUCACACAUAUGAUGCAUAGUGGCACAGGAUCGAAUGUCACAUCUUUACUAUAUAACAGGAGUUCUGUACAAAAAUAAUUAGAUAAUUACAUCAUAUGAGGAAACGAUCCAGCAACCCGAAGUUGACUGGGAGACGACGGCCUAGAUCUCUCGUGAACUCAUCACAUCAUCCUCCAUGCGCCUCAUCCUGUGGUACCUGUUCUUGACCUGUGGGGGGUGUGAGACAGCAAGAGUGAGCUCACAUACGUUCAUCGCUCAACAAGUUGUGGGGAAUAAUGUGAAUGAACUCGCCAAAGGUGGGAGUUCAUGUGAAGUGUAAGGCUUACCAAAGAGGAUGGUUAGAGCUGAGCAUUGCUUUUAAAGUUGGUCAAAAUUUUAUUAGCAAUUACUAAGUAUAAGUAAAUACCAACCCAAUUAAAUAGUAGAACAAAAGUAAUAACAUCACCUGCGAUGCAAUGCAUAUGACAAAUUGAGUUUAAGUUCCAUAAUUUAAUCAUCAGAGAGUCCUGAGCUGCUCAUGACCGUGAGCUCGGCUAGUAUACCAGUUUUACACUCUGCAGAGGUGGUACCCUUUACCCACAAGUCAUGUUACCCAUCUGCCAAGGGAUCGCGACUUCCCAUACACCUCUACCGAGGAGGCGAGGCAGGGUAACACUACGAGGCCUUUACAAAGUUCCACUAGCUUCAGAAAACCCGCUACAGUUUAUAGGAAGCUCCAAUGCAGGAAUCCCUUGCAGGACCGCCAUCGCAGCAAAAUCCUCCCAAGGGCCUCCCUACACUGACCACUCCCCUACUGCCCUUGCCCCUUUCGGGUAAGGUAGUCCUCCACUAGCUUUCCUAAUUAAUCAGCCAAGGGCGUCCAUAAACCCUUUUGGUGGCACGUGUUUCUCAAGUUAAGCUCUAUGUUCCAAUUAACAUUAAUGAUCUUGACAUGAACAGUAAAUAACAACGGAUAACAAAAGUAUAAUCAUGAAUAAUGUGUAUCUCAAUGCCCAAAACCACAUAUAGCACUAGCAAGUACUACCCAAAAAGUUCAGUGGUAAACAAGGCAUAAAGAUAGACGAACUAGGGUAACCUAUUAGGUCCCAUCAAAAUUAACCUAUGCAGAUCAUUAUGAUUAAUUAGAACAUGAGUGGGUAAAAGAAGUGAUCAAGGGCACAACUUGCCUGAGACUUGAGAUUCCUGGUACCAGGAUGAUCUUUAGGUGACACGUGUCCUCACGCUAGUCGUAGCAUUACAAACAAAUAGUGUAUAGGCAAAAUUAACAUUACACCAAACAUAAGAAUACACUGCAUAAAAAUAAUCUACGCGAAGCUACGAGACUAACGCAACUUGAACGGAUCAAAUCGGAGUUAAAACGGAGGAGUUAUGAUUUUCUGAAGAUUCUAUGUGUUUUGUACAAAAUUAAAUAGGAUAUAAAUUUUAUUGUGACUUUCAUGUCAAGACAGCGGUACUAGAUGAUAGACAAUAAUAUUACACAAUUAUAGGAAUUGGAACGGAUUAAUUUGGGCUUAAUAUGAAUUUUCUAUGAAUUAUACAAGUUUCUACCAUUAUUUUCGUAUUAAAAAUGAUUUUAAAAUGAAUUUCCCUGAUUUUAUUCGCUAACUGGUCGGCGCGUCAAAUUCAGAGAAGCCCAGGGGCUAACACGUAAAUUUUCUAAGACUCAGUGAACAUCGCCCAUGGACGGCGGGUUCUAAUUCUAGCAAGUAGAGGGGCUCUAUAGCAAAAUGGCACCGCGAAGGGGUAUCUAGGGUUCUCGGCCGUAGGAUUAGAUAUGGACGGCACGGAUUAAAUUAAUCUUCAUCCGAACCGGUACGGAUUGCAGUCCACAGGAUCGAGAUCUGAUGGUUACAAUUUAAUGAAACGCGAUCUGCUUCGAGCCGUAGGAUAUCAGAUCUACGGUCAGCCCUAAGGGACCGAACCGGUACGCCCAACAGCCAUGGGAUCUAGAAUAUACGGCCUAGAUUUAAUUAACUCAGAUCCAACCAUGUUCGUGGGAUAGAAAUCUAACAGUCCGGAGCCAUCCUUCCUAUAGUUCUGAUCUUGGUCGUCAGCGCGGAGAUCAACGGUCUGAAGGCUUCGUCUUCUUCCCGGAGACCCGCCAUGGCCAGGAACUCCAUCGCGACAGCGCAGGCGCCAGCGCAUAGCCUAAUCCGCCCACCCCGUAGCACAAUUCGACGUUUUGACCGAGCCAAACUAAAGAGGAAACAUUAGCGGCCACGCGUGCAGGGCACUUACCAACAAUGGAGGCGACGACUGGGUUAAUUUUGGCGAAUGGCGGCUUCCUCCCGGUGGUCGGAUGGCGGCACGCGGCCCGGUGGCGAUUUCUCCUCCGAUGAGUAAUUGAAACGGCCCAGAGGGUCCCCGGCCCUGACCCACGGAAGUCGCGUCGAGCCGCGCUAGUCUUCUGCAAAGAGAUGUCCCAGAGUUCCCCCUUGCACACGAUCUCCCACGGUGGGCAUAGAAUGGGUAGUGGCGGCGCGGCCCGCCCUGCGACGAUGAUGCGUUUCUAGCGGCGAUUGGGACCUAAAUGUCUAGUGGCUAGGCACGAGGGAAUGCGGCGGAGAAGCAAGUUCCUAAAUAGCCGAGCGAGGCAGGGAGGCGGAAACGGACCGUACCGGCCAUCCGCGAUUCUCCCAGGAAGCUCGGGGAUUCUGUUACAAGGGAGGAGAUGAAGCUGGCGAAAGGGGGCCCACACGGCAGCGUCUCCUAGGUAAGGCUGGGCCGCGGGAGUAAGUCUGGUAGAGUGGGCCGACAGUGCCAGAUUUGGCCCAAGCGCGGUUUGCCCCUUUUUCUAUUUUCUCUUUAUAAUUUCUAUUCCAAAUUUUAAAUUUCUAUUUCAAAUUCAAACAUGAUUCAACUUUGAAUCUCAAGCAUAAUUCUAAUGGGUACAGAAAUCCUUAUCUUCAUAUUUAUUAUUAUUUUUAUUACUAUUUUUUUAUUAUUUAUCUUCCCCCUUACCAUUUAAUUCUAAGAGAAAUAAAUGAUUAUUACUUUUCUCAAGUUCUUUCCUAUAUAUAUAUUUUUUUAUAAGUUGAGGUCAAAUUAUAUUUUUAAUAAAAGGAAUCACUCAAAAUUAUUGGUAAGAACUCAACCUCUCUUUAUCUAUUUAUUAGUUACUUAUCUAAUUUUAUAUUAUUGCUUGAGUACGAGGGGGAAUCCCUAAUAGAUUUCAAAGAUCUUCAAAAAUUCUCAUCACACUAUUAUAUAUAUAUAUUAUCUCUUUAUUUUUUUCUACCAAAUUUUGGGCUUUACAACUCGCGAGCUUCGGGAAAAUGCAACGGCGGCUCCGCUAUAAUUCACCGGACAUGUCGGGUGUACACCGGACUAUCCGGUGUAACUGCGGGGCAACGGCUACCUGCAACGCAUUUAUUGCGCGCCAGCGCGCGCAGAAGUCAGGAACGCCCAUACUGGCGCACCGGACACUCUACAGUACAUGUCCGGUGCGCCACCGGACAUCCAGGCGGGCCCAGAAGAUAGUGCUCCAACGGUCGAAUCCCAACGGCUUUGGUGACGUGGCUGGCGCACCGGACAUGUCCGGUGUGCACCGGACUGUCCGGUGCACCAUGCGACAGGCAGCCCCACCAAACGGCUAGUUUGGUGGUUGGGGCUAUAAAUACCCCCAACCACCCCACAUUCAAGUCAUCCAAGUUUUCCACUUCUCAACCACUUACAAGAGCUAGGCAUUCAAUUCUAGACACACCAAAGAGAUCAAAUCCUCUCUAAUUCCACACAAGGCUUUAGUGAUUAGCGAGAGAGAUUUGUCGUGUUCUUUUGAGCUCUUGCGCUUGGAUUGCUUCUUUUCUUUAUCACUUGUUCUUGUGAUCAAAACUCCAUUGUAAUCAAGGCAAGAGGCACCAAUUGUGUGGUGGCCCUUGCGGGGAAGUUUUGUUCCCGGUUUUGAUUUGAGAAGAGAAGCUCACUCGGUCGGAGGGACCGUUUGAGAGAGGGAAAGGGUUGAAAGAGACCCGGUCUUUGUGACCACCUCAACGGGGAGUAGGUUUGCGAGAACCGAACCUCGGUAAAACAAAUCCUUGUGUCACACUCCUUAUUUGCUUGAGAUUUGUUUUGCACCCUCUCUCGCGGACUCAGUUUUAUUUCUAACGCUAACCCGGCUUGUAGUUGUGUUUAUAUUUGUAAAUUUCAGUUUCGCCCUAUUCACCCCCCCUCUAGGCGACUAUCAAUGUUGAUCACAUUGUCUUCAUCGGGGUUAGUGGCUAACCCCCUUAACAGGAGCAUUGAUAUGUGCUUGUUGAAGAUGCUGCCGACUCUGAUUUUGACUGAUAGAGAGAGGUUGGAGGUUUCCAACUAGACAGGUGCAAGAGGGAAGGGUAUAGAUAGAAAAGGCAAGUAUGGAUGGAUUAAAGAGAGAAAAGGGGGAACACCCACUACUUAACUUUAUGGCACUCAGCUAGUAAACUGAUGUCAUUGCGGACCAAGGGCCACAACACAUCAACACUCAUCACAAAGAAGCAAAUCAGUCAUAGCAUAAAGACAAACAUCACAAGCAUACAACAACAAACAUCUGGUUGCUAUACGUUAAUGUUAACUAGAUGGUGGUCUUUCCUUACAAAGGGAAAACUACUCUAGGGCCAACGAAAGGCAAGGGGAUAAUAAGACAUGCAUGAUAUGGGCAUGAGCACAAUAAGGGAUGGAGUUAAGACAAGACCUGCAAGUGGAAAGGAAGAGGAUAUGUCCAAGGACCAGAUAGGUAAAUUGCCACUCUCUCAAGUUGAGGUGGAAGAGAGGGAAUUUUUAAAAAGUAGGAAUAAAGAUGAGUAUCAAGGCAAAAUCGAUGGAUGACAAGGUGAGGGUGAUAGCAAAUAAAGCACACAACAAAUGAUGGAAUUAAGACAAAGCUUGUAAGGCGACAAGGAGUGAAAAGAAAUCGAGGGAGGCAUAGGUCACUCACAAUUCUCAACCUGGGUUGAAAGAAAGGGGAGGCUCCUAAAGGAUAAGUUCAAGGUAAGCGUUUAAGUAGAAGACCUAAAUAUCACAAGGGUCAAAGGCAAUAACGGACAAGGGUAUAAGAGAAAAGAUGAAGGCAUAGAAGAGCCAGUGAUAUUAGUACAACAAAGAAUGGAGGUAUGUCAAGGCUUACACGCGGCAAAGAAGGGGAUAUUGCCAAGGGUAAGAUAAGUAAAACACCGCUCUCAAAUUGGGAUAGUAGAUUGAAGAUCUUAGAGAACGGACAUAGUGUAAUCACCAAGGUAAGAUUAAGAGAUGAGAAAGGUAAAGGUAAUACCCAACUGGAGCACGGCCAAGGAUGGAGUUAAAACUCGCAAGCGACAAGGAAUAGAAUACGACCAAGGGAAAAUAGGUAAGACACAACUAUGAAAUUGAGAUGGAAGAGAGAAGGUUUUAAAGGACAGGUAUAAUAUAAGCAUCAAAGUAAGAUGUAGAGGCGAUAAGGGUAAAGAUGAUAAUCAUGAAAAGCAUAAACAAGGAUAGAGUUAAGGCAAGACUCGUGAAGUGGCGAAGUGGAGAAAGUAAUCAAUGGUAAGAUAGGUAUGAUUCCAACAGAAGGGUUGAAGUAAAAAUUCAUUACCCAAGGAAGUUAUAAGGAAACAACGAGAUCACCAAGGAUGUGCAAAAUAAAAUGACCGCUCAUGGAUCAUCGAGAAAGAAGGGUGGUCAAGGGCAUGUAAAAUGAAAUAUCUUAAACAGACCUUGGGAUGUAAAGGUAAGCAUAAAAAGGAUGAGAGUAUGAAAGAUUUCAAGGAGAUGAGCAUACCAAUACCAAGAGUCAAGAAAUUGCCAAAAGAUAGCGACUUAACAACAGAAAAGGAAAAGGUCUCAAAAGACAGAAAGGUCAUGAACAUAUAAACUGAAAUGUUUAAGUAGGCAGUAGAAAUUUAGAGGCAAGUAUUUGAGACAAGGGUAUUGAGGAAUCUAGGGGUAUGGGCAAGUCAAUACCAAGGGAACAGAGAUGGUCAAAUGGUAGCAAUUUAAUAAUGGAAGAGACAAGAAUCCCAAAAGGCAAUAAGGUUAUGGUCAGGGGCAUCUACAAAGAUGUCGCAAGCACAAGACUAAGAUCAGAUCUAAUAGAUUGUGAGAAGUAUAGACCAUACUAGAAUAAAAUACUUUUGGCAAGGAGAUAUAUAGGAGCACAACAUAGAAUUAGUCGGUAUGACUAAUAUUUUGAAGCAGAAGCAAGGAUGGGGUGAAGUAAUAAUCAAUAAGUACUUAAAGCAGCCAAUGCUACUCUAGGUCAGCGGUCCUACAGUCAGCAAGGCUUUGAUACCACUUAUGUCACACCCAGUUUUGGAAGGUAAACCGAAUACCAACCAUGUACGUGCCAGGAUCAGAAAUUCACGUACACAGUGAUUACAUAAAUGACUCAUCAUAGCAAAAUGCUUUGAAUAACAAUAAAGAGUAAGUAAUAAUAUGAAAUACUAGAGUCAUUUACAUAAUAUAAUCAAAGUACACAGAAUAGGAACGUAGCCAACGUAAAUUAACCCACCACAGGCAGCUGACUGGGGGAGGUCGCUAGCCUAAUUAUCGAACUCGUCAAAGUCCUAUAACUCCUGGAGAUCUGCCUCGACGCCUUCUUCUUUACCUUAGCAUAGAUUGCACCAAGGGCAACCUGGUGUUUUGUGAAAGCAAGGGUGAGUACACAUCAACGUACUCAUCAAAUGUCCCGUUUGGCUGUAGUGGACUAGCUUUAUUUGGAGUUAAGGUCAAGUAGUUGCUUUUAGUUGGUCAGGUUAUUAUUACUAAUAGAGAGCCAGGUUUUAACAUUAACCCAAGUUAUUAACCCAAAGUACCCUUUCCAAACGGAAAGGAUACCACUUACCAUUACCAUAGUCAUAACCAUCAUCCUUGUCACCACCUGUAAACCAACCAUCUCUGAUCAAGUAUCUCUAAUCAAAGAGGAUCCCAAGGCCGCUCAUAACCGUGAGCACAGCUGAUAUAUCAGUUUCUAACCCUCUGCAGAGGUCGCACACUUUACCCACAAGCCGUGAUUCCCAUUCUGCCUAGAGAUCAUGACUCUCCAUUGAUCACUACCAAGGUGACCUAGCAGGGUCUCACUACAUAGCCUUUACAAAGAUUUCCCAGAGGUCAUAGCCGCCCGUUAGGUUUCUCUAGUUUGAUAAACACAGUACAUCUCCCCAAAGGAAGGGUGACUAACAAAACCAAAUCAAGAACCUCUGCAACCAGCCUCGGCAAAGCAAGUACUGUGCCCAUACCCCAUUCACGGCCCUACGGCGAAGCCAACUACUCCUCUGGUUCCUCUAAUUAAUCAGCUAAGGGCGUCCCAUUCCAUCCUCAUGGUUGCACUGUUAUCUCGGGUUGUCACUCCCCAAACAGGUCCUUACGGAGAGGUACUCAGGAAAAAGGCCUGAGCCCCCUAGAGUAUCACAAUAUCAUCAUUGGGAUAACAUCAUCGUAUCAUAAUAUUCACAUCAUGUUCAUUGAUUAAAGUAAAGCAAUAGCAUAAAGCUAACCAUGAUAACCCAAAAUGAUAAACAAGGAUAAGUAAAUAGAAAGCUAGUCAAUCCUUAUGUUUCAAUUAAGUAAUGCAGGACAAUGAAUUAUAAGUAGAUAGGACAUAAUGGGUCAGAGGACACUUGCCUUCACCAAACAGAUGCUCAGGGUCUUCAACCAUGUAGAACUCGAAGAGCCAGAUCACUUGGUCGCCAACGCUUGAUCUUUGAUCCCUCGAAGCUUGAAAACGGAUCGUAGUCUAUUCGCGAUGUGCAACAAAUACAAACAGCCACAAGCAAACAAACAUAUAUAAAUGCAUAAGAACAUUACACCAUACAGGAUAAAGUGUUAUAAAAACAUGCAGCAUAAAAUAGAGCUCGAUUCUAUGGUCACGCGAGGGAAAGAAACGUCGAACUCGAAACUACGGUUAAGAAGUUAGUGCGUUAACGUUAAACAAGUAUUAACAAUAACUUUUAGUUCAAACAUAAUCAAGUAUAAAAAUAUACAUCAGUUAGUUCGAUUAAUCUGCUACACUAACAAUGUUUGUUAAUUAAAUAAUUUAAUUAAAACAAGAGAUUCCAAGCGAGAUGAAUUUAUGACACGUGAAACAGCACGACAGCGUGCAAAUAACGCGCGGACACGCGCGACAUAGCACGUUGACGAUACACGAAACAACGCGAACGCGCACGAAUCAGCACGUCGGCGCGCGCGGAACAGCACCCGUGACAGACGAGAAUAAUUAAACAGGUGACACCUUUAUACUAAAUGAAUGUUAAAUAAAUAGAAAGUAGUUAAAUUAAUAUUAUCCAUGUUAAUAUUUAUUAUAAAAGCCCAAGAUAGACACUACACCCUUUAAUCUGAUUGGAAUAUUAAUCUAAUAAAUAUUAGUCGAGCAAUCCUUAAGUUAGUUAUCUAAAAUAUGAAACCUGACAAAUUAACGUUAUUAACGUGAGUGUUCAUAAGCGAAAACAAUUUAUUAUCACGAGAAGACGUCGUGUGACCCGCGUCAUCGACACGCGAGAUAUGUGCGAACGAUGCGCAGCAAGGCGAGCGACAUGUGUAAGUGGCACACGCGACGCACGUAAACGACUUGUGACAACGCGUGCGAACCGCACGCGUGACACGCGCGAACGACACGCGACAACACGAGAAUAACGCUUGAUCUAUACGCACGAACAACACGGCGACGGCGAGCGCCACACGUGCGAACAGCGCGUAGAUAGCACGCGACAUGCGAUUAUCACCAGAUUAUAAUUAGAUGUGCAAAACUAUAUUUCUAAGUUGAUUUUUAAUUAAUAUAAAUUAUUUACUAGAACAUUUUUGAUAAAUUGAAUUAACAAUCAGUCAACGAUUAACAAGAUCUCAUUACUAAUUAUCAAUGAUUAAAGCGAAAUGAUUAACUAAUGUGUGCGGGUCGCGUGCGCGAUGUAGCGCGAACGGACGGUGACGACGCGCACAGACCACACACGCGAAAGGCAACAACGACACGUGUGAACGGCACGAACGUGCGCACGCGCAGGCGUAGACGGGGAUAGACGGGAGUCGUCUAGGAGUAGACGAACGUCGUCUAGGGGGUAGACGGACGUCGUCGGGACCUUGACGACGCGUUGUGCGUGCACGAAACAACGCGCACAACAGCGCGCGACACGCGCAAGUCAACACAACUACACACGCGAAUAGCACGCUGACGCGCAAACGAAAACUACUACAUAGAUGUCGCCUCUAUACUAGACAAGUAUUAAACUUAAAACAUUUGUGUAGUCAUUAAUCACACUAUCAUAUAUUUAUAAAGCGUAAGUUAAAAUGAUAAAUUAGUUAUUUUAAAUAACUAACAGGUAAAUAAUUAAUUCAUUAAUUAAAUAAAUAUGUGUCGCGACAAACAAUGUUUCUAAUAUGAAAUUGACGCCGCUAGAGUGGACGUGACCGAAUGAGUUACGCCGCAAGAGACUUAAUACAUUUAAACCUCUAAUGAACUUAUAAACAACGCGAUACACGGGUACUGCUAAAUUAUGUCGUAUUCAUACUAAGCGUUAAACACGACAUUUAAGUUGGUGUACACACACUAACAGGCAUCUACAAACGCAUAAUUAAAAUCAUUAAUUAGGUUUGAUUGAAUUGUUAUUUUAAUAAUACACAACAAAACAAGUAAUCAAUUAUUUAGCGUGAACGAUAUAGCGAAAUGAUUUUACUAAAGCGCGCAAACAGCGAUUUACGCGAACGACGACGAGCACGGACAGCAUGCGAACGACGCAUGACGACACGUGCGACAUCCCGUGAAUUGCGCGUAAAUCAGAUGUGCUACGCGCGGCGCGAAUCAUGCGACAGCGAUGGAGUUUUGCAUAUGGUUUGGACGAGAGGCCUUACCACAGGCGGACGGCGACGAACGUCAUGGGCUCGACGGACGAUGGCGAGAUGCGACAACAACGACGAGGCGAGGCAUGACAUGACGGGAACGUGCAGGGCGGCGCUCAGCGAAGUGGGUGACGAACGCGACGAAGCUCUAUCCCACGGCGCGGGCUGCAGGGGAGGCGCACGCUACUGGACGGGUUGCUGGGUCGGGGAUUCGGUCGCUCACAUGGGUUGGCGCGGAGGCUGCACCGGCCGGCUCGGACAGGGGCUCGCGCGUGUAGAGGGCAGGGGUAGCUAGCCGGACCGCGCUGCCGACCGCCGUGCCGGGCUGCCGGAUGCCGCGGUCGUCACCUGGCUGGCCUCGGCCGUGCCUGGCCACGCCGGCUAGGCGGUUGGGUGCCGAGUUCUUGCGUCGCGGGUGGGAGAGAUGGUUGAAGGAGAGGAUGGGGGCGCAC
rnacentral:lncRNA from 1 species